ACGAGGUUUAAUGUUUCAGGUGUGUCAGGUGUUCCUUAUUAUCUUACCGUCACACAUGCUUUAAACAGUCGUUUAAACCAUUGAAUACAAUGGAGGGAUAUUUCAUGUACUUGAUAAAAUACACCGAUACGUCUAUUCAACGGAGCUGAAUGCAGUUUAUUAAAAAUAAAUCGUUUGUCGAUAAAGACUAUUUGUGUGGACACGAGUUAACUUUUGUGCAUUAAGUUUGGUGAAAAACACAUAUUCAGGGUUGUUAUGCUGUUUCUUUUCGUUUGGUAAAAGUUAUGCAGUUACUAUGUCUGAUGAACAUCACCCGUUUGAACAGUCAGGAAAGUUUGCCGAUGAAAUUACGAUACGAUUUGAAGACUGCGACGAACAUUUGUAUGUUUCUAAAACGUUACUUGGACAUGCAUCACUGGUCUUUCUAACGAUGUUCCAAUGCGAUUUAAAAGAAGCAAAUACAUCCGUAUUAGAUAUCAAAGACUCCAGCAGAGAGGACUUUCUGGAAUUUUUGCUUUGCAUUGAUCCAGGGACGAUGAAGGAUGUGACAAAUAACAAUGUGUUGAGAGUCGUGGUAAUUGCACACAAGUACGACGCAAAGCCCCUGCUCGAAAAAUGCAAACAAAUUAUGAAAAAUUGGUUAAAGGAAUGCGCCAUAGACACAAACGCUGCGUUUGAAAAAAGUCAUGUUUCCUAUGUUCACACCUGUCUUCAAAUCCUCCACACAUCAAAUAUUUUGGGAUUUGUAACCCUUACCGAAAAUGCAAUUGAUCAACUCUCUAAAUUUUGUUCUGGAAUUUACUUGAGGACCAAUUUUGAACAAACACGUAACUUUAUUGGGUGGACUAAGUCGAGCGAAACAGCAACACAGUCCGAGUGUGUUACGAUAUUUCAAAGUAUGCCUGCAGAAGUUCGAGAGAAGGUUACGAUUCUACGACUGAAUUUAAUAGAUAAAGCACGGAGUGUAUAUUGACAGGAGAUGAAUCGAGUAUUUGACCCUUACUUUAGUAAAUUCAAUCUUAUGCAAAAACUAUUCAUCCGAUUUUAUUGGUUUAUACGUUAUCUUGUUGCUUAUUAAUUCCUCUUUCAAAAAAAUAUAACUUUUAGUAUAUUCCUGUUGUUAUUAAUGGAUUUAUAGCGAGUUAAACACAAGAAAUACGAUUUUUUUUUUUUACGAUUAGCGUACAGCGAAGCGCCGAGGUUAUACAUUUUGAUGUACCCACUCACGUCUUUUGUUAAAUUAUAGUUUCAUUUCUCGGCCGAUUUUGACAAAUUAUAUAUCAUUAGAAAGCUUACGUUACGCAGUAAACAGAUAUAUCAAUAUAUAUUAAGUUUUUCUUCUGAUUUCGACAGCCCGGCGAGUUAUAACUUUAACUUUUGCAAAUAUCAUACCGUUUUGGAGUUUUAGAAUCUAGAUUUACGGUUGACAUGUUCGUACUUAAUACCAAUUUGUAGCGUUUAUAUUUGGAGUUCAGUUUUAAAAAUUACAUCUUGCUUAGGAGAAAAGAAUUCUGUAUACGAUAGAAAAAUUUUUUGUUUAAAAACCAAAGUAAUUAAGGAAUGAAGGCGGGAAAAUGUAGCGCGCGUUCCUAACGCACUGAACUGAUGCUACGGUCUUGGCGAUUAUGCUUUUGUUUAGAAAUCGGCCAUUGAAUUUCUUUUGCCAUCUUAUUAUAUUUUUUAUGGAAUAUAUUGUAGUAUUUUGUUCACGAAACAUAUCAAUAAAGCUUAUUAUAAAUGAAUCUUAAUAAAUUAACGAUUUCAGCUCUUGUUUAUAACACAGAAAGGUUGUAAAAUUUAUGAUGAAACAGCGUAUAUAGCGGACCCUCUCGAUAUUAUUCGGCUUUGCAUGCAUACUUGAAAUAAAAUGGGUGUCAAAAACAUUCAUCGUUUGCUGUUUAUUAUCAACAAGGUAAUUAUGUAUAAUUAUUUGAAAUGUUAUUUACCUUAAAUUAUCAAUUUAUUAAAGAUUCUUGAAAAUCACGGUCCGUGUUACGCGGGUCAUUUCGUAUUUUGACAUCAGGGCAUCAUGUCCAACUAUUGAAAAUCAGAUUUUUUCACCGGGACGAUGACGGCUUGGAUUUAGACAGGCAGACAGAUAGUUUAUUCAGACUUAAACAACAGUACAUCGUCUUCAACUCAAAUAUAUAAAUUAUUUUUAGACGAAUUGUUAGGUGAUUACACAUAUAGCAGUGAUGAUUCUGAGAAUGUUGCCAUGUUUCUUAUCCGUGUAUUCUAGAGUCCAUGGUUUGAGCAUUUUUAUCGCGGUGUUCAAAAAAAGAUAUCUCAAUAAUCUUGUUUAUUGAUAGAUCUGUGGUUUUAUUGCCCCUGUGUUCAGCACAAACCAAUUAUCUCGUUAUGAUCAGAUACUGUGCCGACCAAUACUAAAUAACACUAUGGUGUCAUACGCCACAGCAGGGACCUAUACUUGUAUAUUGGUCCCUAACCACAGGUGGCAAUGUCUGGUCAGAUUACACUUUUUAUGAUACCUCCAUGUCUUCUCGUGGUAUUAGUGGUCAUUUCUUGGAGUAAUGUAACGCCCAAUACUCAAUUUUGCGUUUAUGAGAUAUGUAGCGUAUUGAAAACAUUUAUAGUCAUCUGCCCAUACAGAUUGCCAUAAACUAAAUACUGUAUAGAUGUCAGCCAGCUAAAUCACAAUAAUUAUAAGUGCUUAAUACCUAUACAUGUACAUUUUAAACAUUUAAAAAAUCUAAUACUUAACAUUUGACGUAUUUAGCG